rnacentral:misc_RNA from 1 species
ACAGUCUCUGCUUAAUCCUCUCUCUGGCCAGCAUGAAAAUGGGUUAUGAAAAGUUAAGAAUGAAAAAUUAAGACAAACUCUAGAUUUGUAUAGCCAUAAACUGCAACAAUCAUGCAGCCACAGAAAGUAUUCAGUUAUGCAGACUAUAUGAGCUUUGUAAGCUGAAGGCAAGUUUGCUUGUGGAUGUGUCAUUUCUAAAUGGAACAUAGAAAUGGUAAACCAAUGAUGAUAUCAAAAUAAUGAAGUAAAUAUCAUUGAUAUGUCCGUUGAACAACUAGAAAAAGCUAGGCAUCUAAGAAUUUAUCAUUUUCACGGAUGCACAUACACUGCCUGCCAACAAUGCAACAUUAGCACAAUAAUACAAGUAGGCAUGUAAACGAGCCAAGCUUUGAAGAGUUCGGGUUCAACUCAUACGAUUUUCAUUAAACUCGAGCUCAGAUUUGAAGCUAGAGCUCGGCCAGUAUAGAUUUUAUUAGACUUGAACUCAUUUAAAAUUCG